rnacentral:tRNA from 1 species
GGCUGCAUAGCUUAGUGGUAGAGCACCUACCUAGCAAGCAUGAGGCCAUGAGUUCAAAUCCCAAUACUGCUA